AAAAAAUAAACCCUGCAUUUCGCUGCAGGGUCCCUUCAGGCCGAUGAGCCCGAAGGCAAAGGGAGAGGAGAAACCGGAGGAAGAACUUAUGGGGAUCGUUAAGUCUUCUCCGCGG
rfam:Caldibacillus debilis strain B4135 NODE_108, whole genome shotgun sequence.